AUACGGGGGGUGCAAGCGUUAAUCGGAAUUACUGGGCGUAAAGCGCGCGUAGGCGGUUUGCUCAGUCGGAUGUGAAAGCCCAGGGCUCAACCUUGGAACUGCAUACGAUACUGGCAAACUAGAGUGUGAGAGAGGAUAGUGGAAUUUCCGGUGUAGCGGUGAAAUGCGUAGAUAUCGGCAGGAACAUCAGUGGCGAAGGCGACUGUCUGGCUCAACACUGCCGCUGAGGUGCGAAAGCGUGGGUAGCAAACAGGAUUAGAAACCCUAGUAGUCC
rnacentral:rRNA from 1 species